UAAUACGUAGGAGGCAAGCGUUAUUCGGAUUUACUGGGCGUAAAGAGGGCGCAGGCGGUUUUUCAAGUUGGGUGUAAAAUCUCCCCGCUCAACGGGGAGGGAUCAUCCGAUACUGUUGAGCUAGAGGGCAGCAGAGGGAGGCGGAAUUCCCGGUGUAGUGGUGAAAUACGUAGAUAUCGGGAAGAACACCAGUGGCGAAGGCGGCCUCCUAGGCUGUUUCUGACGCUGAGGCCCGAAAGCGUGGGGAGCGAACAGGAUUAGAUACCCUGGUAGUCCACGCCGUAAACGAUGGACACUAGGUAUAGGGAGUAUCGACCCUCUCUGUGCCGUAGCUAACGCAUUAAGUGUCCCGCCUGGGGAGUACGGUCGCAAGGCUA
rnacentral:rRNA from 1 species